rnacentral:rRNA from 1 species
UCGUAGCGAGACUGCCGGUAAUAAACCGGAGGAAGGUGGGGAUGACGUCAAAUCAUCAUGCCCUUAUGACCUGGGCUACACACGUGCUACAAUGGUUGGUACAACGAGUUGCGAGUCGGUGACGGCGAGCUAAAUCUCUUAAAAGCCAAUCUCAGUUCGGAUAGUAGGCUGCAACUCGCCUACAUGAAGUCGGAAUCGCUAGUAAUCGCGGAUCAGCACGCCGCGGUGAAUACGUUCCCGGGCCUU